UACGUAGGGUGCGAGCGUUGUCCGGAAUUACUGGGCGUAAAGAGCUCGUAGGUGGUUUGUCGCGUUGUUCGUGAAAACCGGAGGCUCAACCUCUGGCGUGCGGGCGAUACGGGCAGACUGGAGUACUGCAGGGGAGACUGGAAUUCCUGGUGUAGCGGUGGAAUGCGCAGAUAUCAGGAGGAACACCGGUGGCGAAGGCGGGUCUCUGGGCAGUAACUGACGCUGAGGAGCGAAAGCGUGGGGAGCGAACAGG
rnacentral:rRNA from 1 species